rnacentral:tRNA from 1 species
UAUGUUUUAGUAUAAGAUGUACAUUAAUUUUUGAUAUUAAAAGAAGUAGUUAAAGCCUAUAAAACGUAA